AAGUUAAAGUCUUGCAGGCCUUC
rnacentral:tRNA from 1 species